GCAGCAGUGAGGAAUAUUGGUCAAUGGGCGGAAGCCUGAACCAGCCAAGUCGCGUGAGGGAUUAAGGCCCUGCGGGUCGUAAACCUCUUUUGCCGGGGAGCAGUGGUCCGGACGCGUCCGGGCCGGGAGAGUACCCGGAGAAAAAGCAUCGGCUAACUCCGUGCCAGCAGCCGCGGUAAUACGGAGGAUGCGAGCGUUAUCCGGAUUUAUUGGGUUUAAAGGGUGCGUAGGCGGGCAUUUAAGCCGGCGGUCAAAUGUCGGGGCUCAACCCCGGCCUGCCGUCGGAACUGGGUGCCUUGAGUGGGCGAGAAGUAUGCGGAAUGCGUGGUGUAGCGGUGAAAUGCAUAGAUAUCACGCAGAACCCCGAUUGCGAAGGCAGCAUACCGGCGCCCUACUGACGCUGAGGCACGAAAGUGCGGGUAUCGAACAGGAUUAGAUACCCUGGUAGUCCGCACAGUAAACGAUGGAUGCUAUCUGUCCGGGCCGAAUGAGGCCUGG
rnacentral:rRNA from 1 species